rnacentral:rRNA from 1 species
UGCGUAGGCGGUUCGGUAAGUCUUAUGUGAAAUCUUCAGGCUCAACUUGAAGUCUGCAUGAGAAACUGCCGGGCUUGAGUGUGGGAGAGGUGAGUGGAAUUUCCGGUGUAGCGGUGAAAUGCGUAGAUAUCGGAAGGAACACCUGUGGCGAAAGCGGCUCACUGGACCAUAACUGACGCUGAUGCACGAAAGCUAGGGGAGCAAACAGGAUUAGAUACCCUGGUAGUCCUAGCCCUAAACGAUGAUCGCUUGGUGUGACGGGUACCCAAUCCCGCCGUGCCGAAGCUAACGCGUUAAGCGAUCCGCCUGGGGAGUACGGUCGCAAGGCUGAA